AACCCCUUUGCCGCGCUUAAUUAACUGGCUAGUUUACUAACUAACUAACCAUCCCCCCCCUCGUUUUACAUAAUCCACGCUUCGCAGGUAAUUUUCAAAAAUAAAUAAUACAGACACGUUGGAGGAUUCGGACUAGUCCAACGAAGCGUCGUCGCUCUUUUUUUGUUCAUCAUCAUCUCAGUCAAAGUAUUUUCCCUUUUGUUGUGCAAGCCCAGUUACAAACAGCAGUUCUCAUCGUUGCCAACUCCACCACCAUUGUUUGCACUACCCCUCUGGAGACACAGGUCCCAUCAUCACUCACGCAGAAACGGCAUCUGAUACCAGGAUCCUCGUGGAAUUGAGACACCCUCGCAACCCAGACAAGCAGAAGGCAGGAGAAGCAAAGACCUGGAUGGUAAAUAUCCGCUUGUUCGCACCAGUUUUGCUUCCCUCGCAUGCUCGUCCAAUGAUCCGAUUGCGACGGUAUUUCUAAACACAAGAAGGUCGAGACCUGAGUACCAGGAAGCUGCACACAGAACAGAUCCAGUGACGGUGAACCUUCAGCUUAUUGUUAUUUAUUGCCAUUUUUAACUUUUUUAUUGCUGCGGUGUCUGUCGAGCCUUGUCCAGGUCGACGACCUUGUAAUCAUUACCAAACUCAUAAUUACCAUCAUCCCGCUGCCGGGCCUGGUACGGUACACUGCCACCAAUACAACGGAAUACCCACCACCUGCUGCUCUCAAUCUCGGGUCCUCCCUCGCCUCU
rnacentral:sRNA from 1 species